AUGAACGCUAGCUACAGGCUUAACACAUGCAAGUCGAGGGGCAGCAUGGUCUUAGCUUGCUAAGGCCGAUGGCGACCGGCGCACGGGUGAGUAACGCGUAUCCAACCUGCCUUACACUCUUGGACAGCCUUCUGAAAGGGAGAUUAAUACAAGAUGUUAUCAUGAGUAAGCAUUUUCGCAUGAUUAAAGGUUUACCGGUGUAAGAUGGGGAUGCGUUCCAUUAGAUAGUAGGCGGGGUAACGGCCCACCUAGUCUUCGAUGGAUAGGGGUUCUGAGAGGAAGGUCCCCCACAUUGGAACUGAGACACGGUCCAAACUCCUACGGGAGGCAGCAGUGAGGAAUAUUGGUCAAUGGACGAGAGUCUGAACCAGCCAAGUAGCGUGAAGGAUGAAGGUUCUAUGGAUUGUAAACUUCUUUUAUACGGGAAUAAACGAAUCCACGUGUGGAUUUUUGCAUGUACCGUAUGAAUAAGGAUCGGCUAACUCCGUGCCAGCAGCCGCGGUAAUACGGAGGAUCCGAGCGUUAUCCGGAUUUAUUGGGUUUAAAGGGAGCGUAGAUGGGUUGUUAAGUCAGUUGUGAAAGUUUGCGGCUCAACCGUAAAAUUGCAAUUGAUACUGGCAGUCUUGAGUACAGUUGAGGUAGGCGGAAUUCGUGGUGUAGCGGUGAAAUGCUUAGAUAUCACGAAGAACUCCGAUUGCGAAGGCAGCUUACUAACCUGUAACUGACAUUGAUGCUCGAAAGUGUGGGUAUCAAACAGGAUUAGAUACCCUGGUAGUCCACACGGUAAACGAUGAAUACUCGCUAUAGGCGAUAUACAGUCUGCGGCCAAGCGAAAGCAUUAAGUAUUCCACCUGGGGAGUACGCCGGCAACGGUGAAACUCAAAGGAAUUGACGGGGGCCCGCACAAGCGGAGGAACAUGUGGUUUAAUUCGAUGAUACGCGAGGAACCUUACCCGGGCUUAAAUUGCAACCGAAUAUGGCGGAAACGCUAUAGCUAGCAAUAGCGGUUGUGAAGGUGCUGCAUGGUUGUCGUCAGCUCGUGCCGUGAGGUGUCGGCUUAAGUGCCAUAACGAGCGCAACCCUUGCCGAUAGUUACUAACAGGUUAUGCUGAGGACUCUGUCGGGACUGCCAUCGUAAGAUGUGAGGAAGGUGGGGAUGACGUCAAAUCAGCACGGCCCUUACGUCCGGGGCUACACACGUGUUACAAUGGGGGGUACAGAGGGCUGCUACCACGCAAGUGGAUGCCAAUCCCAAAAACCUCUCUCAGUUCGGAUUGAAGUCUGCAACCCGACUUCAUGAAGCUGGAUUCGCUAGUAAUCGCGCAUCAGCCACGGCGCGGUGAAUACGUUCCCGGGCCUUGUACACACCGCCCGUCAAGCCAUGGGAGCCGGGGGUACCUGAAGUGCGUAACCGCAAGGAGCGCCCUAGGGUAAAACUGGUGACUGGGGCU
rnacentral:rRNA from 1 species